UAUUGUACAAUGGGGGCAACCCUGAUCCAGCCAUGCCGCGGGUGUGAAGAAGGUCUUCNGAUUGUNANGCACUUUAAGUUGGGAGNCAGGGCUUUAGGUUAAUACCCUGAAGUUUUGACGUUACCAACAGAAUAAGCACCGGCUAACUCUGUGCCAGCAGCCGCGGUAAUACCGAGGGUGCAAGCGUUAAUCGGAAUUACUGGGCGUAAAGCGCGCGUAGGUGGUUCAGUAAGAUGGGGUGGAAAUCCCCGGGCUUAACCUGGGAACUGCUUUCAUAAAUGCGGAGCUAGAGUACGGUAGAGGGUAGUGGAAUUUCCUGUGUAGCGGUGAAAUGCGUAGAUAUCGGAAGGAACACCAGUGGCGAAGGCGACUACCUGGACUGAUACUGACACUGAGGUGCGAAAGCGUGGGGAGCAAAC
rnacentral:rRNA from 1 species